rnacentral:rRNA from 1 species
AGAGUUUGAUCCUGGCUCAGGACGAACGCUGGCGGCGUGCUUAACACAUGCAAGUCGAACGGAAAGGCCCUUCGGGGUACUCGAGUGGCGAACGGGUGAGUAACACGUGGGUGAUCUGCCCUGCACUUUGGGAUAAGCCUGGGAAACUGGGUCUAAUACCGAAUAUGACCACGCUCUUCAUGGGGUGUGGUGGAAAGCUUUUGCGGUGUGGGAUGGGCCCGCGGCCUAUCAGCUUGUUGGUGGGGUAAUGGCCUACCAAGGCGACGACGGGUAGCCGGCCUGAGAGGGUGACCGGCCACACUGGGACUGAGAUACGGCCCAGACUCCUACGGGAGGCAGCAGUGGGGAAUAUUGCACAAUGGGCGCAAGCCUGAUGCAGCGACGCCGCGUGAGGGAUGACGGCCUUCGGGUUGUAAACCUCUUUCAAUAGGGACGGAGCGCAAGUGACGGUACCUAUAGAAGAAGCACCGGCCAACUACGUGCCAGCAGCCGCGGUAAUACGUAGGGUGCGAGCGUUGUCCGGAAUUACUGGGCGUAAAGAGCUCGUAGGUGGUUUGUCGCGUUGUUCGUGAAAACUCACAGCUUAACUGUGGGCGUGCGGGCGAUACGGGCAGACUAGAGUACUGCAGGGGAGACUGGAAUUCCUGGUGUAGCGGUGGAAUGCGCAGAUAUCAGGAGGAACACCGGUGGCGAAGGCGGGUCUCUGGGCAGUAACUGACGCUGAGGAGCGAAAGCGUGGGGAGCGAACAGGAUUAGAUACCCCGGUAGUCCAA